rnacentral:rRNA from 1 species
UACAGAGGGGGCAAGCGUUGUUCGGAAUUACUGGGCGUAAAGGGCGCGUAGGCGGCCUUCUAAGUCGAACGUGAAAUCCCCGGGCUCAACCCGGGAACUGCGUCCGAUACUGGAAGGCUUGAAUCCGGGAGAGGGAUGUGGAAUUCCAGGUGUAGCGGUGAAAUGCGUAGAUAUCUGGAGGAACACCGGUGGCGAAGGCGGUCUGCUGGGCAGUUUCUGACACUGAGGCGCGACAGCGUGGGGAGCAAACAGG